UUUAAAUUGAGAGUUUGAUCCUGGCUCAGGACGAACGCUGGCGGCGUGCCUAACACAUGCAAGUCGAGCGAUGAAGCUUCCUUCGGGGAGGGGAUUAGCGGCGGACGGGUGAGUAACACGUGGGUAACCUGCCUCAAAGAG
rnacentral:rRNA from 1 species